ACGAAAAUCCGUUGGUUUCGACCGUGAGG
rnacentral:tRNA from 1 species